rnacentral:rRNA from 1 species
AUUGAACGCUGGCGGCAGGCCUAACACAUGCAAGUCGAGCGGGGUUUUCGGACCUAGCGGCGGACGGGUGAGUAAUGCGUAGGAAGCUGCCCGAUAGAGGGGGAUACCAGUUGGAAACGACUGUUAAUACCGCAUAAUGUCUACGGACCAAAGUGUGGGACCUUCGGGCCACAUGCUAUCGGAUGCGCCUACGUGGGAUUAGCUAGUAGGUGAGGUAAUGGCUCACCAAGGCGACGAUCCCUAGCUGGUUUGAGAGGAUGGUCAGCCACACAGGAAGUAGGACACGUGCGAGACACCCAUGGGAGGCAGCAGUGGGGAAUAUUGGAGAAGUGGCGCAAGCCUGAUCCAGCCAUGCAGCGUGUGUGAAGAAGGCCUUCGGGUUGUAAAGCACUUUCAGUAGGGAGGAAGCGUUGUGUGUUAAUAGUACACAGCGUUGACGUUACCUACAGAAGAAGCACCGGCUAACUCUGUGCCAGCCGCCGCGGUAACAC